rnacentral:rRNA from 1 species
AGGAAGGUAUCGACCCUGCGGUUGGCGGAGGUUCACAAGCCUACGCAUUACAGCUCCUCGGUAAGUCACGGACACCCAGGUUAGAAACCCACCCAGGCGGGUAAGUCGGCGGUCUGUGAAGGGCUAGGGCCAAGCAUGAAGCUAAGGUCCCAGACAGCACAAAAUUUGGGGCAUGGCGGGCAGGCCUCCAGUUGUUUCGAGUUCAAUAUUGUCUCGAUUGUAAAGGUAAGCGUACUUCCAGGCGGUAAUUUUGAGUUAAGACACACACCACGCGGCGUGGCGCAACCGGCUUCGCUGCAUUUAUUAGAGUGACACCAACCGUGCCUUGGCACGUGGUGAAUCUAGAUAACUGUGCAGAUCGUAUGGCCUUGAGCUGACGACAUUUCGAUUGAAUUUCUGCCCUAUCAACUGUGUUGGCAGUGUAGUGGACUGCCAAGGUUUUUACGGGUAACGGGGGAUCAGGGUUCGAUUCCGGAGAGGGAGCCUGAGAAACGGCUACCACAUCCAAGGAAGGCAGCAGGCGCGUAAAUUACCCAAUCCAGACAAUGGGAGGUGGUGACGAAAAGUACCAGAUGGCGGCCAAGUGCUGCCAGUUUGGAAUGAAGACAAUUUAAGCAAUUGAAUUGAGUAACGACUGGAGGGCAAGUCUGGUGCCAGCAGCCGCGGUAAUUCCAGCUCCAGUAGCGUAUCUCAAAGUUGCUGCGCUUAAAACGCUCGUAGUUGGAUCACGCACUACGCAUUGGUGUGCUUCGUCGACCGGGCGUCAAUCCCAGCGCGUCGUCGGCCGUACUCUUACUGCCGGCGGCGUGCUGGGUGUCCGGCGGAGUUGUGAAUUAGCCAGUGUGUAGGAACGCCACGUGUCAAUGGCAGUAAUCCAUCAAAGCCGGGUGGCCGGAGUCUCACGGGGUGUGCCUUGACUCUACCUUACCCACCGCUCUAGCAUACCCUCCUCUUUCCAACAGGCAUAAGUGACAUCCUGAACCGUCCGCAGUCUCACAUUUUAAAGGUAUGAACUUAGCACAAGCAUGGCUUGAUCUUAAAAAGAGCGAAUACGCAGGGCCAGUGAUGUUGUUCCGUAUUGGGGUACUAUUAAGAGGAGCGGUUGGGGGCAUUGGUAUUUGGCAGCGAGAGGUGAAAUUCUUGGACCUGCCAAGGACUAACAAAUGCGAAGGCAUCUGUCCAGACCGUAUCCAUUAAUCAAGAACGAAAGAGAAAGGUUCGAAGACGAUCAGAUACCGUCCUAGUUUUCUCUGUAAACUAUGCCGACCCGGGAUCAGUUUGGAGCAAUUUUCCACGCUCGAGGUUGGUCCCCCUGGGAAACCUUAAGUUUUUCGGUUGCGGGGGGAGUAUGGUCGCAAGGCUGAAACUUAAAGGAAUUGACGGAAGGGCACCACCAGGGGUGGAGCCUGCGGCUUAAUUUGACUCAACACGGGAAAACUUACCUGGUCCGGACAUCAAUGGGAUAAACAGACUAAGAGCUCUUUUUUGAUAUGAUGAUUGGUGGUGCAUGGCCGUUCUUAGUUCGUGGAGUGAUCUGUCAGAUUAAUUUCGGUAACGAACGAGACCACAAUCUCCAUUUGACGAGCCGGAGAAGAUAUUGGUUACACUUGUGCUGGCAACGGUGCCGGAGUGAUUAGUAUUGCAGGCAAUGCUGGGAUGCACGUAAACCUUUUCGGAGGAGCGUGUUCCCGGUAUUCCCUCCGAAUCAGCAGCACUCGGCUCGCAAGAGUUGAGUGUUGUAUCAUGGAGAGACAACGGGAUAUAUUUAAACCCGAGGAAGUGUGGCUAUAACAGGUCUGU